UGGGGAAUCUUGGACAAUGGGGGAAACCCUGAUCCAGCCAUGCCGCGUGAGUGAUGAAGGCCCUAGGGUUGUAAAACUCUUUCGGCGGGGACGAUAAUGACGGUACCCGCAGAAGAAGCUCCGGCUAACUUCGUGCCAGCAGCCGCGGUAAUACGAAGGGGGCUAGCGUUGUUCGGAAUUACUGGGCGUAAAGCGCGCGCAGGCGGUUCUUCAAGUCAGAGGUGAAAGCCCAGAGCUCAACUCUGGAAUGGCCUUUGAGACUAGAGAACUAGGGUACGGGAGAGGUGAGUGGAAUUCCGAGUGUAGAGGUGAAAUUCGUAGAUAUUCGGAGGAACACCAGUGGCGAAGGCGGCUCACUGGUCCAUUACUGACGCUGAGGUGCGAAAGCGUGGGGAGCAAA
rnacentral:rRNA from 1 species